rnacentral:rRNA from 1 species
UACGGAGGGUGCAAGCGUUAUCCGGAUUCACUGGGUUUAAAGGGUGCGUAGGUGGGUUGGUAAGUCAGUGGUGAAAUCUCCGUGCUUAACAUGGAAACUGCCAUUGAUACUACUGAUCUUGAAUUUUCAGGAGGUAAGCGGAAUAUGUCAUGUAGCGGUGAAAUGCUUAGAUAUGACAUAGAACACCAAUUGCGAAGGCAGCUUACUACAGGAAUAUUGACACUGAUGCACGAAAGCGUGGGGAGCGAACAGG